rnacentral:rRNA from 1 species
UUACUGAGUUUACGCUCUAUAACCCUUUGUGAACAUACCUAUAACUGUUGCUUCGGCGGGUAGGGUCUCCGUGACCCUCCCGGCCUCCCGCCCCCGGGCGGGUCGGCGCCCGCCGGAGGAUAACCAAACUCUGAUUUAACGACGUUUCUUCUGAGUGGUACAAGCAAAUAAUCAAAACUUUUAACAACGGAUCUCUUGGUUCUGGCAUCGAUGAAGAACGCAGCGAAAUGCGAUAAGUAAUGUGAAUUGCAGAAUUCAGUGAAUCAUCGAAUCUUUGAACGCACAUUGCGCCCGCCAGCAUUCUGGCGGGCAUGCCUGUUCGAGCGUCAUUUCAACCCUCAAGCUCUGCUUGGUGUUGGGGCCCUACAGCUGAUGUAGGCCCUCAAAGGUAGUGGCGGACCCUCCCGGAGCCUCCUUUGCGUAGUAACUUUACGUCUCGCACUGGGAUCCGGAGGGACUCUUGCCGUAAAACCCCCCAAUUUUCCAAAGGUUGACCUCGGAUCAGGU